UCUUGGGUUGAAGGUCUAGACUUUAUUUGGGCUGUUUUUCAAACCCUUUCUUUAAGUGUGAGGGCUUCGGUCUCUGUCUUUGGACGGAAGAUUCGGGUAUAGAGCUCUGCAGGGAACUGCCUUUUUUCCCCCUCUGUCUUACAGCAGAGGUGCAGGUCAUGGUUUUUCUGCCUCUGCCUCAGAACCAAGGGUUUGGGUCAAGUUUUUUUCACCUCUGUCUCACAGCAGAGGUUUGAGUGAAAGAACUGGCAGUUAGGCACCAGUGGUUUCAUUUUAUAUUGUAUGCAUUUGAGAUAGCAGUUGUUUACUACCACUUGAAAAUUCUGAAUUAGUCUUUAAUUUUAACCAAUUCCUGUUAGUUCCUAACUGAAAUGUAUACCCCUUUUGCUCUUCCAGGUGGACGUAAUAAGAGGGUCUGGUCCCCCAUACCUUGAGGACUCUGCUGCCAUCUGACAAUUAGAGACAGUCCAAAACAUGCUGCACUUUGAUCACCAUUUGGGCCUUCAUGAGUAACCAGCUGAGAAGCUGAGAUCCUAGAAAUCAUAACCAGAUAGAAAUGAAAUUCAUGGAAAAGGACCCUGACAAGUACUCUUGAAUACAGGUUUCUGAUAACUUGGGAGAUCAUAUCAUUGGACUAAGUAACAACUUUCAGGUAUGUAAUAAACUGAUGUGUUCCUUAGAUUGCUAACUCAACAUCAAGCAGAACAAGAAUUAAUUACAUGUGACUGAACUGACAGAAGACUGAAAUGAUUUUCUGACUUUUUAUUUAAAACAUUGCUGUUUUUUUUUUAAUUUUGUCUUCCAGAGUCAAGAAAACUUUUUUUCCUUGAGCUAUUUAUUUAUACUUUAUAACAAUUGGGUAAAAAUACCUUUGUGAGCAACAUUGAAACAUUUGCCUUUCUCUCUGAUUGCUCCAAAAUUUGGAAACUAUUCAUGAGUACUCUUAUUUUAUGGCAAUCUUGUUAUUUGCAUACAUUUAAUAAGAAUCUUUUUUCUGUAACAGGAUAUAAUUGGAGACACUUGUUACUUUACUAAGGAUUUGACUGGAAUGACAUAUUUUCAGAUAUGACCAGACUGCUUUGAAGAAUAGAGGUUGACUCUAUAGAGGCGAUUAAAAAGCCUCUUGGAAAGACUGGCCUCAUCCCUUACAUAGUUCCCUUUCAAGAUUUCUGUCCUUGUGUUAAGUAAAGAAUGUCACUUUCUGACAGGCCUGGGAACCUCAAAAUAUUUCCACUGUGUAUCUCUCAUUGUUUUAUUUCUUCUGAGAAAACUAAAUUCAUGGUACACUGAAGAGGUGAUUCCACAAGUGACAGCAGCUAUGAAUCAAUGACUGGUAGGACUACCUGGGAAUGAGCCUUUCUGGCAAUGAGGGAUACUUUGACACUCAGAUUUUGAUCAUCAGUGCUUUCAAAAAGAAAGAUUUUUGAUCAAAAGGAAGAAAUGAGAAAAAGAACUUUUAUCUGAAGAAUGCAAGUCCUUUCCAAUUAUCAGGUCCAGAGAGGUAUUAAAAUGAGACAGCAAUCCUGUCCUACACACACCCCCUUUUGAGCCACGUACUCAUCUUUUUAUACUGCUUACUAUUGCCACAAGUAGCUGAAAAUUAGCCUACUGGUGCUGCACCAGACAUUAUAACCCACAUCCUAUAGCUUAAUAAUGGAUAGCCAAUCAAUAGCUUAUGUUAUGUUAAUGUAAAUUAUUGGUAAAUAACUCAGGAACUGCCUCUUCUUUCAUUUUAAAAAUCCACUUGUGGGCUGGGCGUGGUGGCUCACGCCUGUAAUCCCAGCACUUUA